CGAAAGCUGAGGAAAGUCCGGGCUCCGUAGGGCAGGAUGCUGGCUAACGGCCAGUGAGGGUGACCUUAAGGAAAGUGCCACAGAAAACAAACCGCCAUUAUUUUAAUGGUAAGGAUGAAACGGUGCGGUAAGAGCGCACCAGCAGCUGGGUGACCAGUUGGCUUGGUAAACCCCAUUCGGAGCAAGACCUAAUAAAAACAAUAGAGCGGCCCGUGCUGUUUUGGGUAGGUCGCUAGAGAUUCAUGGCAACAUGGAUUCGAGAUAGAUGAUCACUUAUACAGAACCCGGCUUAUUACCC
rnacentral:RNase_P_RNA from 1 species